UACGAAGGGGGCUAGCGUUGCUCGGAAUCACUGGGCGUAAAGGGUGCGUAGGCGGGGCUUUAAGUCAGGGGUGAAAUCCUGGAGCUCAACUCCAGAACUGCCUUUGAUACUGAGGAUCUUGAGUUCGGGAGAGGUGAGUGGAACUGCGAGUGUAGAGGUGAAAUUCGUAGAUAUUCGCAAGAACACCAGUGGCGAAGGCGGCUCACUGGCCUGAUACUGACGCUGAGGCACGAAAGCGUGGGGAGCAAACAGG
rnacentral:rRNA from 1 species